UACGUAGGGUCCGAGCGUUGUCCGGAAUUACUGGGCGUAAAGAGCUCGUAGGUGGUUUGUCGCGUUGUUCGUGAAAACUCACAGCUCAACUGUGGGCGUGCGGGCGAUACGGGCAGACUAGAGUACUGCAGGGGAGACUGGAAUUCCUGGUGUAGCGGUGGAAUGCGCAGAUAUCAGGAGGAACACCGGUGGCGAAGGCGGGUCUCUGGGCAGUAACUGACGCUAGGA
rnacentral:rRNA from 1 species